UUCAAGACCAAGAGAGGGUAGAAAUUAACAAAAUAGUUCUGAAAUCUCUCAAUUUAAAAAUUUCUUAAAAUUAGAAUGAAUCUUUCCUAAAAAUCUUUUUUGAAGCUUAAAUCUGGAAUUCCAAUUCCAGAUGUUUUUUUUCAAUUUCCAUGUGCAUACAUAUUAUUUAAAACAUGUCAAACCAGAGCAUGGAUCAUGCCUAUUUAUAAUCAGCAAUGCCAGAAAGAAAGAAAAACAUUAUGAGGAAAUUUAUUCACACACAUAAGAUUCUCAGAGUAACUUGAACAGCCUGCAAAAUUCAAGAAUGCUAAGUGUAUUCAUUCAAAAGUUUCAAUGACUAAAAGUAGCUUACAGUUCAACAGUAUGUACCAUCUAUAUGGAAUAUCUCUUCCUAAACAUCUGGGAUAAUACCUAUACAAAUAAAAAGAUGAAAUUGUUAUCUUCUACUUCAUACAUGGAUUAACAGAAAGAUUUUUUGUAAAAUCUCAUUUUGAUUACAUCACUGAUAUGUUUGAAUUUCAGUUAUCUCCAAUAUCAAACUUAAACUCAUUAGUGGAAGCAAUGCAGUCCUUCUCUGCUCCCCUUCCCACCUUCUACUCACUAGCUUCUCAUUAACUCUAAUUCAGCAAGUUUUUAUUAAACAAUGAUAAUUUGCUAGACUCUGUGUGAAGUGCUACAGAAAAGGGAAGGAAAAGGAGUAGAUACUACCUCUGUAUUCUAGGAGUUACUAUUUAAUGAAGAAAAUCAAAACAUGUAUAACUAACUCAAGGCAGAAUGUGAUAAAUAACAGUCAAAUCACCCAAUAAGUCAUACGGGAGCUCAGAGGAUGGAGAGUGGCAUUCCCUUUGCGGGGAAAAACAAAAGUAUUUCAGCCUGCUGAGACUCUCUGUUGUAGCAGGUAAUUAUACUCAUGAUGUCCUGGCCAUUACUUUUCCGUUUUGUUUUUUUUUUUUUUUAAGACAGAGUCUCGCUCUUAACUCCCAGGCCGGAGUGCGAUGGCACAAUCUCCACCCACUGCAACCUCCACCUUCCAGGUUCAAGCGAUUCUCCUGCUUCAGCCUCCGGAAUAGCUGGGAUUACAGAAUUUAGCAGAAGGAGCUGCAGACAUUGGAUUCACACACUGCUUUGGAGUCUCCAGACUCAGCUCCUUCUCUUCAGCCUAUGAAGACUGCCAGCCUCCUCCUGAGUUAUCCUCCACCCCCACUCUUUGGCACCAUGGUUGCAAACUUUUCUAAAAGAAGAUGGGACGGGACAAUCUUAAUGCUUGUUUUGUUUACUUUCCAUCUUUCCAAGAUCAGUCCUCUACUGACUGAUGUCCAAAAUCUUGACACCAUCGUUUUAUAUAUUGUAUCAGGUUAUUUUUAUUUGUUUCAAGCAGGAGGGUAAAUCUAGUCCCAAUUACUCAAAACUGGCUAGAGAUGGAAGUUAUCUAUUAUGUAAUAUGGCUUUUAAACUGUCCAACAUUAUGAUCACCCUCCCUAUGACCUGCUACAGCUUGCCAAUUUUCACUUUAGAAUGUGAUACAAAAAUUUAACACAAUUUUUAGCUGCGUUCUGACUUUAAAAGCAUAAACAUUACCGCACAAUUAAAUUUUAACUUUUUGCAAAUCCACCGCUGUUUAAGUGAUAUAUUCUCUAUAUUUUUUUAUGUAGGAGGUUUUUA
rnacentral:lncRNA from 10 species